AGGAUUAUAGUUUAAAAAAAAACAUUUGAAUUGCAAUCAAAAAAAAUUAAUUUUAUUAAUUUAUCUUA
rnacentral:tRNA from 1 species